UUUAGCCUCUGAUUGUGAUGUCUGCAACUUUGAAUUUGACGUUUGCACAAUUUCAAAGGUAUAAAAUCAUUAUUAGUUAUUUUUUUUCUGGUUUCUUUUCAUUUCCAGAUACCUGGAAGUACAGACUCUUGUAACCUGCAGCCUGGUAUAUUUUCUUGUUCUUCAAAUACAGCAUCAAUUCCUGCAUUUUUCCGUGCUAUACCCUGUUUGACCCUGCUUGUAAAAAAAAUACAAGUAUGUUGCUUCCCGUCUGAUGUCAUUAUGACCAACUCCAAAAAUUCCUUGGUUUCUUUUUACAGUUAUCCUAAUUUGUAGACAUCAAAAGCUGGGGGAUAUGGCUGGAUCCCUGUCUAAAGAAAGACUAGCUGUUAUGGUGUAACAGGGACAGGCAGUAAAAGUUGGUUAAAAGUGUCCAGAUUGGCCAUUCUGAAGAAUAUGGCCUUGUCUUUGUGAAGGAACAUAUUUGUGAGCAUCCAAAUGGUAACUAUGGAGAGGGAAUUAAAGGGCUUACAGAAAGCACACUGAAUAGGGUUCAACUAGAGAGAGUGAGAGAAAGGAUUCUGUUUAACCUAAAAAAAAACAAAAAAACUCCAGCAACAAAAAAUACACUCUGUGUAUGCAUCGAUUCCCAAAAUUUGAUUUUUAAUAGCAUUGGUUAAUAUUAAUAGUGAAAUGAAGGACUUUACAUAUAAGUAAUUUAUAUAUCUAUAUAUAUACUUUGGGUUUCCAUUUAUGAAGGACAGAUACAAUAAAAUGUGAACUACAAAUUAAAGAAGAAAGUAGGGUACUGGUGUCUUAUCUACUGUUUGAGUAACCCCUUUACAAUUAAAUUAUUUGCAAACAGUUCACCAUCAGAAUCUGUAUGUGCUCUGUGUUCUGAAAAGUAACACGUAAAUGAAUAAAUAGCACAUUAUUCAAUGACAAAACUACAGUAUCGUUGUUGGUCCUUGUUUAUUACACAAAUGGGAAACCUCAAAUGAGUAACAGAACAAUGAAGCUAAGCACCAGAAUCAAAUAUUAAUUUCUUUUGUUUAUUAAACUGGAGAUAGACAUGUAUACAAGGGGUUGUAGUAUGGACAUUUACCACUCCUGUGCACAUGUACCAUCAUCAGAAGUGAAGGGGCCGUUACCCCUUAGCAAAGAUACUCUUCCACCUCUGCUGGAAGGCUUAUUCAUGAGUUCACUGUACUUUUUGGAUGUAUAUUGCAAUUUCAUAUACUUCCUCUGAAUAUGUUUUAAUGGAGCUCUGGAGCUAGGAUACUCUCGAACUUUCAGAUAACUCGAGUGACAUAUAUAUAUAUAUAUAUAUAUAUAUUGUGUGUAUAGUACGUAAUAUUUAUGUGUAUGUACCUAUGUAGUUUUGUGUUUAUAUAUAUAUAUAUAUAUGUAUGUAUGUGUGUGUGUGUGUGUUUACAGUAACUUAAUAUAAAUCUCCAUAUAUUUAAAUGGAAACAAAUAUAUGUUGUACUUAAUUACUUAUGUACGUACUUCAGGACACAUAAUCAAUUACCAUUCAGGUAUAACAGUCCUGAGUGGCUUUCUUCUUUUAGGUUGUAUGUGGUGUGUCCUUUUCAGUGUCCUCAUAUAAAAUACAUUUGUGUAUCCAUUAUACUACUGAUUCUGUAAUAUGUGUGUGUAUGUAUGCAUAUAUAUAUAUAUUUAUUUUUUUUAACAUUAUUAUUAUUUAUUUAUUUAGUUAUGGUCACUGGUAAAUAUAUAUUGCCAAAAAACACAUGAUAUUCACAUCCAUCUUGCAAUUCACAUUAAUAAUGCAUUGUCAUUUUUAUAUUCAUAAUCCCCACAACUCCCAGGGCUCAUGCUAAGCCUCCUGUGCAGUCUUUUCCAGAGACUGCAUUUGUUAGAAGGCCUCAGUGGGACAACUGCUUUCAUAUGUACAAAGGCCUAGACUUUUGACUUGAAAGGCAAGUUUCUCUUUUCACAGCACCACCAACCACUUGUGUAUACAAUGACAUCAGUGUCUUUACUAUACCUGCAGAUGGCUACCGCUCUAGUCAGUCAUAUAGUCCACUGCCAUAUUUAUUUAUAUGGUGCCACAAGUGUACUUACCUCUUCAAAGUAGAUGUAGGAGCAAAUGUUUUCACCAAAGAGGAGACCUACAAGUAGUCAAUGAUAAAUAGCAGAUGAAAGAAUAGCUGGCAAAAUUAACAUUUUAACAGGAAGUGUUCAUAUAUUAUUAAUAGUUAAAAUACCAGGCUGUGCAUUUGGAUUAGUUGCUAUGAGUACACUUUAAAAUAAAUCCAAGUUAAAAUUGAAAGAUGUAACAAUAGACGUGAAUCACUUAUCCCAUCUUAGCGUCUGUUUUGAAAUAUCAGACCCAGUUUAAUCCUAACACAUUGUAUUUUUAUACCCAGUAUAGCCUCACACCCAUUACAAACAAUUCAGGUUCUCAGAAAACAGAUCUUCCUGUAUUGCAGCCAUCGAUAAUGACUGGCAUUUCACUUGUUGGCACCUUACGCCAUGUUCAGCCAGCACGUAGUUGUGCAUGAUGGGUGUUUGUAGUGCCCAUCUAUAUCGUCCCCUUGAAUCCUAGAAAUUCUGAAAGGAAUGUUCCUCUCUUCCAAAAUGCUUCCAGGCUCUUUACAAAAACUGAAGGUGCUGCUAUAAUGUUUGUGUUUCUAUUGCACAACAAAUUCAAAAUUGCCAAGACAAACAUUACUCCAUAAAAGAAAGGAUGAGUGUUUAAAUAAAAAUAGGUAACACCUGCAGUUGGACAGAGAUUAAGGUGUGUUUAAUGAUGCAGUGAGUUAAGCACACGGAGACAAUAUCAUUUAUAAGUUUGUAUCUUAGCUCUUACUCAUUACGACACUGCUAUCAUGAAACCAGUGCUUCUGGGAAUUUUCUCUUUGCAUGGGAAUACCUGGGGUUUGGUGGUUAGGGGUAUUUAAUUAGGUUAUGUUGUUUGAUGAAAGAUUUAAAAUCUGUAAUUCCCUGUGACCUGGUUAUUUGGACCACUUGCAAGGUGCUUUUGUUUCAGAACUUGAAGAAGACCUGCCGGAUAAUUCACUAAAGUUUGACUUCUCAUGAAUUUUACAUUUUAGUACAAAAUAGCAAUUUGUCUUUUUUGAUUUUUUUUUAAGUCACUACAUUGUACAUUUUAGUGUAGGUGACCAUUUUACUAUUUAGCUAUUCAUUUCCAGCUACUUAUUCAGCUUCUCGUUUUUCUUCACAGUAUAUUGACUGUAAAUUUUCCAGGUCUUGCGCAGAGAGCGCGUAUGGAGUUUUACACUUAUAUGGGCUAUUUAAUGAUUGUGAAGUUCCCGAGUUUUUAUAAUACAGGAAAUAUGAGGUUCUCACUAAUGGUAAUUGAACAUUUUGAGUUUCCUUGUUGUGAAUAUACAUAAACAGGAGGUUGCAUCCUCAUUUAACUGCCUUGUCAUAUUACAUCUUUACAAACUUUACAUAUUACAAUCUCAUUGAGUCCUCUAAACUUUGAAGGCUGUACAUUGUCAUAGCGUAUAUGACUGUGAAGAUUUUAUAAUGUUUUUUGCACAUUAGAAAUACUAUAGCAAUUCAUUUUAAAAACAUGUUUCAGGCUUUAAUUGAUCAGGAAUCUCAUCACGUGGGGAUCAAUUUUGUUAGAUUGAACUGCCUUAGCUCAUCCUUGAUUCAUCCAAAUAAAUUAGCGUUUCCAUUUUCCAUAUCUUCGUAUGAGUGGUAUUCUGAAAUAAAGCUAACACAAAAGUUAAAACAAAACAAUAAUGUUGAAGUAUAAAACAGCAAAGUAAAGUACGUCUCAUCCAAAAAGACUGUUUAUGAAGAAAUUAACUUCAGUAACGAUAGCCGUUUAAACAGCAUAACACAACUAGUAGCUAUACAUAUGCUUAUGCAAAAAAAAUAAUUGUAAUAAAAAAUAAAUAAAAACAAAAUAUAUGCAUAUUUUAUAUAUUAUAGUGCACACACACACACACACAUAUACAUUUUUAGGUUAAUACAAGUAUUAUUAUUUUUUAAUUAUUAACCCAUUGUGUUUGUUUUGUGUUUUUAAAUAUAUUUUAUAAUGCACUCUUUUUAAAAAAAAAUCCUUUUGUAAGUGUGAGCAUGACUGAACUUAGGUUAGGAGCCUAAGAUACAAUCGUUGUGCUGUUUUUGUAACCCUUGUUUGGGAUAAAGAGAAUAAAAAAAAAGCUAAACAUAAGGGAAGGAGAGGACUGUCUGUCUGUUAGUUAGUUCAGAUCUGUAGCCCACUGGGUCCAUAUUUCCCUAGCCAGUGUUCCUUUGAGAUUCUUAUGUUUAUAGAGCAUCAAAAAUAAUGUCACAUCCCACCACCUUAUUAUCAAUAAAGAGAGAGCAGCAAUAGUGAAAGAGUUUCUGAUAGAAGUUACUGUCACUUUGCAUUUCCCCCAGUCUCUAAAAGGAAAAUAUAAAAAUACCUUUCCAUCAAUGUGCAUCUGCUUUGUGCUGAAAUACAUGAAAGGGUUACAAAUGCACAUUUAUACUGGUAUGGAAAAUACCACAUUUUUAAGAAUUAGGUAGUCUGAUGUCUCGCUCUCUCCUGUGGAGUCUGGUGAUUUUUAAAGAUGGUGGAGUACUAGACUCCACCCUCAGAAUUUGGCCCCCCCAUCCACCAAUGCUGUAAACUAAAUUUUCUGACCUGAUUGUCAACCUCUAACAGUAGCCCUCAUACAAAACACAGAGCUGCAUACAAAACAGAAAUAUCCAUAAAAUACACAGUGCUAGGUAUAAUGCAGUGAUAUAAAAAAGAGCUAGAUACAAUAAAGAGCUACCUACACACAGGGGUAAGCCCCACCUAUGGGAGAGGUGUAAUUAACCACUCCCCCUUGUCAGGGCCAUCUUAAAUAAUGAUUGGACCCUGGGCAAGCAUUUGUUUGGGCCCCCUGGACAUGCUCCCCCCCCCCCUCGACUCACUGGCAUGCAAUCACGUCAUACACCCCAACGCAGUGGCGGAACUAAAGUAGAAAGAGCCCUGGUGCAAUAAUUUGAUUGGACCCCCCCAUUGGAAGGUUGGACAAAAAGUAGAACCCUAUCUGUCCAACAAUGCUUUGACAGCUGGGGCUCUACCAGUUUCAAAUGUUGUGGGCUGAGCUGUGUUUGUGUGUAUGAAUAUAGGCAUGUGUUUGUAUGGAGUAUGUUUACGUGAAUGCGUUUGUAUGUGGUGUUGAAGUUUAAAUGCAAGUGUGCAUUUAUGUGUAGUGUUGGUUUUUAAAUGUAGGGGUUUGUUUAUAUAUAAUUUUGGUGUUUAACACAGAGGUGUAUUUGUAUGUAGUGUUGACAUUUCAAUGCAGGAGUGUGUUUGUAUGUAGUGUUGACGUUUCAAUGCAGGAGUGUGUUUGUAUGUAAUGUUGGUUUGAAUGGAGGGGUGUAUUUGUAUUUAAUGUUGGUGCUCAGACGCACAGGUACACACAUUGACACACAUGCAGAUACACAGAUACACACACUGACUACAUACAGAUAAACACACUGACAACAUACAGGUACACAGACACAUAAACUGACAGGCAUACUGACACACACAGGCACAUACACUGGUAGAUGUACUAACACACACUGACAGACAUACUGACACACAUACAUACAUAUACAGACAUACUGACGCACACAGAUAGACAAACUGACACACAUAAACAGGCACAUACACUGAUAGACAUACUGACACAUAGACGCAUACACUGAUAGACAUACUGACACACACACACACACACACAGAUCAUGAGCCAUUCCAAGGCACAUACACUGAUAGACAUACUGACACACACACUGACACACACAUACACUGACAGAAAUACUGACCCAGACAGACAUACUGACAAACACAUACUGACACACAAAUACAUACACUGUCAGACAUACUGACAGACACAGAUAUAAAGGCACACACACACAUAGACAUCCUGGCACACACACAGACAUUCUGACACACACACAGAUAUACUGACAGACACACACACAUACAUACUGACAGACACUCACACACAGACAUACUGACAGACACACACACAGACAUACUAACACACACACAGACAUACUGACACACACACACACAGACGGACACACACACAUACAUACUGACGCACACACACAAACACAGAUAUACUGACACACACAGACAUACUGACAUACACACAGACAUACUGACACACACACACACAGACAUACUAACACACAGGGGCGGACUGACCGGUCGGGCACUUCGGACACGGUCCGAGGGCCCGGCCGGGAGGGGGGCCCGCCGCCAGGGCCGCCUUCAGGGGGCCCGGCGGCAGGGCUGGAUUGGGGGGGGACUGCAGGUGCCACCGGGUGGCCACCCGGUGGCACACUGUGAGGGGGGGCGGCCGUUUCAUGUUAGAGCCGCCGGACCGGGUGGCAGCCUCGCCGGUCCGGCGGCAUUCCGCUCACUAACACUGAAGGAAGAAGGAGGAGGAGGAGCAUGUGUCUGUCAUGCUCCCUGCGGUUCCCACAAUUCCCAGCACAGGAUGUGGGAACCGCAAAGGAGCAUGACAGACACAUGCUCCUCCUCCUCCUCCUUCUUCAGUGUUAUUGAGAGGAAUGCCGCCGGACCGGCGAGGCUGCCACCCGGUCCGGCGGCUCUAGAAAUGAAACGGCCGGCCCCCUCUGACUAGUAAGAGGGGGGAGAGAUGGGGAGGGGAGGGGGGAGAAAGAGAGGGGAGAGAUGGGGAGGGGAGGGGGGAGAAAGAGAGGGNNNNNNNNNNNNNNNNNNNNNNNNNNNNNNNNNNNNNNNNNNNNNNNNNNNNNNNNNNNNNNNNNNNNNNNNNNNNNNNNNNNNNNNNNNNNNNNNNNNNGAAGAAUGAGACACGGGGAGAAAGAGGGGGAAUAGAGAGAUGGGGAGGGGGGAGAAAGAGAGGGAAGAAUGAGACACAGGGGGAAUAGAGAGAUGGGGAGGGGAGAGACAGAGAGGGAAGAAUGAGACACAGGGAGAAAGAGGGGGAAUAGAGAGAUGGGGAGGGGGAGAAAGAGACAGAGAGGGAAGAAUGAGACACGGGGAAUAGAGAGAUGGAGAGACAGAGAGGGAAGAAUGAGACACGGGGAGAAAGAGGGGGAAUAGAGAGAUGGGGAGGGGGGAGAAAGAGAGGGAAGAAUGCCCCCCCUCCCCUGUCCGCAGGCACCGUGCGGGCAGGGGAGGAAGAGAGGACCUGGGAGCUCACCCUGCAGCUCCUCUGGGUCCUUCUUGCGCGAGCACAGAGCGUUGCAGCGGUUACCAUGGCAACGUUACUGCUCUUGCGAGAGUCAACUCUAGCCCUGGAGCUACGGGCUAGAGUUCACUCUCAACACUGUAACCCCCAUGGAUUCCUGGUGGUCGCAGUGGUGAGAGUGAACUCUAGCCCCACAAACACACUGCCCCCACACACACACCAUACACAUUCACACACUGCCCCCAUACACACCAUACACAUUUACACACAUUGCCUCACACACACACACACAUACACUGCCCACCCAUAUACACACAGACCCCCAUACACAGCCCCCCAUACUAACAUUGCCACACACAUACACUGCCCACACACUCUACACAUUCACACACUACACCCCCACACACACACUGAACCUUUCACACACAUUGCACCACUGCUCCUAUUCCCUACUACAGCCUCAUAUCCCAGCAGACCCCAGGUAAGUUGUCAAACUGUUCUUAAACGGUUUGACUACUUACUCUGGAGCAGUAGUGGUUAUUGUGCAUGGAUUAUUUCUUUAAAUAAUCUACAAGUGCCCCAGUAGCCAGCCAGCCAACCCACAGGCUGGCCAGUAGCCAGCCCACAGGCCAGUAGCCAGCCCACAGGCCAGUAGCCAGCCCACAGGCCUACAGCAAGCCACAGGCUUACAGCCAGCAAGCCAUAGCCUGCCUGCCAGCCGCAGUCAGCAAGCCCACAGCCUGCCGGCAGUAGCCAGCAAGCCCACAGCCUGCCAGCCGCAGCCAGCAAGCCCACAGACUGCCAGCCAGCAACAGUAAUUAAGGUAAGAGGAGCCAACUUGGCUUAGGUAUCAGCGAGCUAUGUUGUGUUGCUAUAUUGUGAAUAGGAACCAGAGUGUUGGAGAGACCACCCUCCAGACCCCAUUAGACUCUAGCCUCUGCUAGAAAUCCCCUCCAUGGCCCAUUAGCCCUCAAUUGUAGUUUCUACUGGGGCCUGGAGGCGACUGUUUCCAGCAGGGGAUAUCUAAUGGACGCUGAGAUGGCCUCUGUUAGAAAGACCCCCUUCCAAGCCUUUUAGACUCCAUUGUAGUCUCUAAUGGGGCUUGGAGGGGAUUCUUUCUAACACACCCUCUAAAGGACACUGAGAUAGCCUCCGCUAGAAAGACCCCCCUCCAUGGCCCAUUAGCCCUCAAUUGUAGUCUCUACUGGGGCCUCGAAGGGCUUAUUGCCCUUUUGUUCCUUGUGUCUAAAGAUUGUGUAGGGUGUGGCUGGAGGCGGGACAAGGGUGGCGCUUGCUGCAGAGUAUGGGUGGGGCCUGUAAGGGGGCCCUUGAUUUAUUUUGCCCGGGGGCCCUGAGGGUUCUCAGUCCGCCCCUGCUAACACACACACACACACAGACACACAUACUAACACACACACACAGACACACUAACACACACACACAGACACACAUACUAACACACACAGACGCACGUACUAAUAGACACACAUACUAACACAGACAGACACACAUACUAACACACACACUAACACACAUGUCAAAUUUACCUCUUUGAACCCACCCUCCAGUUUCCUACCUUUUCCUGGAGAGUGGCUUCCCUGGGAUCCAGUGUGGUGCCUGAGACUGAUGAAAGUGAGGAGCCUCCAUCCUCACUGCCGCUGCUGCCGCCGCCUCCUCCUCCUCCUCCUCCCUCCAGCAUGGCUCCUCCUGCCCCCUCCCGCGCAGCUCCUCUCUAUACGGGAGGAAGUGACUCGCAGCUGUCACUUCCUCCCAUAUUGCCAAAAAGCAAGAGGCCCGUUCACGCCGUUAAAGGGCCACAGCGCCCGACUGUGCCCCUGCUGAUACAAGCCCACUGGGUGGUCCUAGGUGCAUGGGUCAUUAAAGUACAUGAAAAAAAAUUAAGGGCAGCGGGGCCCAUGGGGCAGCUUCCUUGGGCCCCCCAGGACUAACUGGGCCCAGGGCAGCUGCCUCAUUUGCCCAAUGUUAAAGACGGCCCUGCCCCUUAUAAACUCUCCUCAUAUCCUUUACUCCUUUACCACUAUUCCGAUAAGGUCCAACCAGGCUCCCUUUUCCUGUUUGUGAUAGAACAGCUGAAGUAGAGCCCUUGGGGCAGCUCUAUGCACUGACUGCAUAGUUCCAAGUGCUCCCUGCAGCUUUGUGCUGAUUCUAAGGCUGAUGUGCUAUUACAUCCUGGCUUCCCACAUCAGUACCAAGGGCAAAUCCAGAGCAUACUCUUUUGAGGGGCAUUGGCAAAUUUAGCAAAAGCACACUGGAUAGAGAUAAUAUGUUAUACAGAGCUCUCAUACAUUAAUGCAAAUUAUAUUCCUGUGGAGCUGUUUAAUACGGUAAUGUGCAUGUGUAUGAAUAUUACAGAGCUCCACAGCAAUAAAACUAGCAGUAGCAAGUGAUAUAUGAUUGUAUCAAAGUGCUUCAAAUAGGGACAUAUUUUUUUUUUACUAGGCCAAUAUACCAAGGCAUAUGGUGGCUGUUUUGGGUGUGUGGCACACUGCUACACCAUUUUUCUAAAAUAUAUUAAUUGAGGCUCAAGGCUAGGUGAAGAAAAGCUGAAAGGAGGCACCAGGACCACAGAAAAACAGAUACAGUCACAAGUGUCACAGUGGGAGUGAUAGGAGGAAAGGGAGGGAGGGUUUGAUAGGAGGAUACUAAUUAAGUAAAGGGAGGGAUGAGAGUGACAGGUGGAUAGGGAAGGAAUAAUUGGACUGAUGGGAGUGUAGGGAAGAAUGGAAUUGAGAAGACAAUAUGGAUGGAUUGGAGUGGGGGGGGAGAAUAGGAAGAGAGUGGGAGGUGAUAAGGAGCAAGGGAUUGGACUGAUGGAAGGGUGAGGAUUGUUGGUAUGGAAGAUGUGGGAGAUAUGCGGGAAAGAAUGGAGUGAUUGGAGUACAGGGUGGGGAGUGAUAAAUAAUCAGCAAUACACCUCACAUUCACAACGCAUAUAUCAGUUUCGCAGAACUAGAGGACAAUUUGAGCUUUAACUGAUGUGGAAUUCUGUGUUCAGUGCAACAUUGUACUGUUUUAAUUCAUUUUAAGUUGUACCUACCGUUGGUGGUAUGAGUGCAGGAACAGUAGAAGAUAGCUCUUCUCCGUAUUCUAUUUUCCUAGUGAACGGAACAAUGACCAUAAGGUGCAGAUAGCAGUGACAGACAGACAUACUGCCGGUACUUGCCUUGACCUUUACUCCACCAAUGGUUACCUUCUUGGCGCUGGGUGCCUUGCAACCCUUGCAGCACGGAUAGAGCAUCUCUGCCUAUACAAUACACAGAGCUGAGUACAUUACAGACAUACCAAUACAAAACACAAAGCAGAGUACAUUGGAUCACACAAUACAAAGAACUGAGUACAAUAAAGAGAUACCCAUAUACUAUACACAGAGCUGGGCACAAUGCAGGGCUAGCCAUUAAAUACAUAGAGCUGGACACAAUAUAGAGAUAACAAUACACAGAGUUAGGCACAAAACAAAGAUUCCAAUAAAAUACACAGAGCUGGGAAGAAUACAAAGAUACCAUUACAAUACACAGACCUGGGUACAACUUAUUGCUACCCAUACAAUUUGCAGAGCUGAGAACAAUACAAAGAUCUAAUACACAGGGCUCGGGACAAUAUGGUCAUACCCAUCACACACAGCCAGGGUCACUGUAGUGGAUACACAUAACCAGGUACAAUAAAGAGACACCCAUACAAUAUAAAGUAACUGUAUAAUACUUCAUCUCUCUCUGUCUAACUCUAGCUCUCUACCCCUCUCUACGCUAUCUUCAGUAGUGCUCAUUGUGAGUUGAGUCUGACAAUUGUAUUUCUCUACUAAAUGUUGCUGCUGCUAUGAAACAUAUCAGUUAUUCCUGACUCAUUGUUACUGUUGUAGAAUUAUUAGGCCUCUAUAAAUUUGUAAGGCCCCUUUAAAUCCUCUUGCUAUACCUCUAAGAGGCCCCCAUAGUUUUACAAGGAAGCUUUGUCUAUAGAACAUAGAAUUUGCAUGUCAGCAAGAAAUAGCUUUGAUAAAAUGUGUAUUUACUAAAAGCCUUGAAACCUAACCUUGAGAAACUAACAAGUGCCAGCUACGCUCCAAAUGGAUAGCUGCCAAAAGGCCCCUCCCGUCGAGUGAGCUCCUCAUUUUAACAAGAUGGCGCUAAAACCUGUAGGAGUUAAGAAAUUACGUAGAUAGUGACCUAAGAAUGGGGAGGGCAUUUUACUAACAUCUUAGCACCUAAGCCAAUUAACAAUGUCUAUUUGUCUAUAUCUUGAUUUUCUUCAAUGAUGUAAUAAUGCCUUUAAAAGGGUCUGCGCACCCAUUUUCUGUCAGAAGCCAUUAAACUUCUCUGAAGUUCUUUCAUUACCCUGAACCUUGUGUCUCAGUGUGAAUUUACUUCUGCGUGCACGCAACUUUAUUAUCUUUAAUUUGGACAGGAACAGAUAGUCAUUCAAACUAAUUGGUUUGCAGUAAAUUAUCUAGAACAAUUGGCGCCCAACGUGGGGCUCUGGGCUAUGUCCAGUCUGGGCAGCUGUCCAAGAAGACGCUGGGGGGGCUGAAUCCUGGGGGAAGGAAAAGAGCCUGAUCACCUCUGAGUACACGGUAGAGAUUGCUGCAGCACCUAGCCGGUAUGUUCCUACCCCUGUGAUUGACCUGCCCCAGUGUCUGUGACUGCUGCCGAGAGGACAUCAAAGUCAGGUAAUAACUUGCCCAGAGUCUUUGUAUUGUUAAUGAUACCUAGUUUACCUGCAUGUUGACUAUCUGUUGCCUGGGUGUGUUUGUAUUGGUAUGUGUUUAACUUAGUACCCGGGGAGUGUAAGUGCCUGUUUAACCCCUUUUAGGUACCACAUGCCUGUGGUAGUAAGGAAAAAGGGGGGUGGACCUGUGGAAGUUUUCCUGGGGGUCCUCUAUUGCCUGUUUAACUCUUUUAGGAGCCACGUGGCUGUGGCUGUAAGGAAAAAGAGUAGGGGGGAUCUGUGGAGGGCAGUAGACUCACUGCUUCCUGGGGAUCCCCAGAGUGUCAUUUUGACCGCUUAGCUAGCCUCAUCAGACACUUCUUCUUGGUAAAAUUCCAGUCUCAAGCGCUGAGACAGGUAAGAUUCCAAUUCUUUAGGCUAUACAGGAUUCGGGUUGGAAGCUGUUGCUGUUUCCUGUGGCUGCUGGUAGUGAGACUUGCGGGUGGGUCCGCAACAGGGACACUACGAGGUUGAGGGAGGUGGCUUUUGGCCACACGAGUAAAGGCAAGGGAUAACACUGUUGAACUUAUUUGAACUGUGAUGCAUGCACUGUAUUUACACUGAAAUGUUAUUGUCUUAAUUGUCUGUCACACAGAUUCCUGUGUUUACUUCUAUCUUACUCACUGUACUAUUUACACUUUCCCCUCCUAUUUCUCUUUCUCUUUGUUGAGAGAAGUGAUUGGUCACACACUUCUCGCCACGCUCCAAUCCGCGGCUACCACGGGUAGGCGGAAUCAGUGACUAGUCUACGUUUUGGGAAGACGUACUUGAAGAGCUUGCUCUUAAAGUAGCAGUCGAGCACGGUAGACGUUCUGUUCCUUUCUCUCUCUAUAUCUGGGACGCCUUGUAUAGGGAGGAUGGGACAGAAGUUAGAUAAACCCAGUAAGGGUUGGUUAGCAUGUGAUCUAGUGGAAGACAGAGAAGGAGAAGAGAUGGUUAAGAAAGUGAGUAAGAUUGCUAAAGUAUGUGGAAUUACCGUACCUCUGUGCGGCAGAUUGUAGCCAGAGAGCUGGCGUAAGUUACUGACAGAAGAAAGGGAAGCUGUCGGACCAAGAUUUGGUUUGUACAGCAGAAGCCUGGUACCGAGUAGCAAGAACUAUUCAGCAAAAGGGAUAGGUUGAGGAAGAUAUUGAUCACAAAGGUUUAAGAUUGUAUGUAUAUCAUAAUAAUUGUGUUACUGGGAAGUUAUCCCAGCAGUGCCCUGUCCAGGAGGUGACCACUUCCAUCAUCCUGUCAGUAAUGACCGAAAUGUAGCUGACCAUGGUCACCAUCCCACCCCAAUCUUAAAACGCUGUGGGGGUUUUGUAUUUUGUGUUAGCCAUUACCCUGGUAGAGGGUGGGGGUUUAAAUGAAAUGUUGUGUUUUUGCUUUGUAAUGUAAUUGUCCUUCUGUCUUGUUACUGUACAGCGUUGACAUGGUUAAAUUCGUGCUGGCAGGCAGUCUCUCUCUUGUUCCACUCAAAUCCCCCUCUGCUAAAACACCCCCCCCUCCCCUCGCUUCUGUGAGACGCGGGGGGGGGUGGUGACAUGCUUGCGAUUUAGGUCUGUCUCUUCGGUGUUCUGUAGAGUUAUUCAGAAGCUACUGAUAAGAGUAUAAGGUACUGAGGAUUGUGGGAGUGACGAGCUCACAAGAUUGCAUUCAGUGUUGAAUACGGGAUUUAGGAAGGUGUAGAGGGAAUAUGCGAUGUUGUUAAGUCAGUAUAAGAGGAGGAAAGUGAUUAAUGGUUUGAGGAAGAUAAGGGAAUUUGGUUGAAUUCCGCGAGUUUAUUUUGCAUCAUUUUAUUAUUUUAAAGUUAUUUUAAAGUACAUGUUUCUAGAAACAGCUGUAUGGGCUGUUAAAUGCAUAAUGUUCUCAACUGUCUUAUUUAACCUGCCAGGUCUGUUCAUAGUUUAGUAUUUCAUUUUGCAGAACGGAAUGUUGCUUCUCUGACUUAUUUUAAUAGUUAUAAUAUAGUGUAUUGUUGAAGGUGACGUCACUUCCGCCCUUACCAUGCCCACACCUCCUGUCUUCCUUUCCCACACCUAUCAUGGACGUCAUCUCACUUCCUCCCUUGCUGUCAUUUCCUUCCCCGCCCCUGUCAUGGCUGCCUCCAUCAUGAGGCCUACCCCUAUUAUGCUCGUCCCAUUUAGAUAAUUACUGGAACAAUCAUGCCAUUUGUUUCCCUGUAUCAACAAUUUGUCCGUGAUAUAAAAAAAAAAAAAAAAAGAAGGUUGCUAAAAUGUAAUUUGCAACUGUGGUGUGACCUACAAAUGAGAUCUGUUGGACACGAAUAUAAGAGCAUAACAGCUGAUUAUCCAGCUUCAUCUUGCAACAAGGGAAAUAGCUAAAUAAUGCAAGUUAUUUUAAACAUUGUAUCUUUACUUAAUCGAAUCUUGCUAGUUACAGAUCUUAUGUUUACAGUAACAUCCUUUACUUUAAAUGAUGGUUUAGCAUUAGAAGGGUUUGUGACAUGUUUAUUAACCCAGCCACUACUGGUUAUUCAUUUUAGUUACAGGGUGUAAUUGUUAUAGUCUAAUUGAUAUAAAUGAUAGUACCGCAAUAGUUAAUGUUUUAUCCAAAGACAUAUAGGAACUUUACUUAACUUACUAUUAACCAUUAUUUAUAAUGAUAGACAUGUUCAGACUGCAAAAAGCUAUGGCUAAUGACAUACAAAAGGGGUUUGAGUCAGUAACACAGCCCAUACUGAGGAGAGCAAACCCGCUGAUGCUUAAUGCCCCUGCCAUGGCAGUGUCUUCAGGGGAACAAGGGGGGCCCUCUAGCUACUGUAAUUUUACCCAUUGAGGGCCAGCCCACCACUUUCCUAGUUGACACAGGUGCAGCCCGAAGUGUUCUGAGAGAACAAGACCUGCCCGAUACCUCAUUUCUUUCCAAUAUUGAUGUCUCCUGUGUUGGGGUGGACGGCCUUCCAAGGCAAAGUCCCCUGAUCACCCCACUGCGGGUUGGUAACUGCCACAACUUGCUUGCUCGCUUUGUGGUAUCUUCCACAUGCCCCAUUAACCUGUUAGGAGCUGAUGUUCUUUCACGCCUGCAGGCAUCCAUCACCUUUACUCCAGAUGGACAAGUGGAACUAUCCACCCCUCUAUCUGUCUCAGACACCUCAGCUUUGUGCUCCUUACCCCUGAUGCUACAUCUAGAAGAGCCUCAUGGGGAUGUAAAAGACCUAAGGACUAAUUUCCCUGAUUCACUAAAGACUGAUGUUCCCAAGAAGCUGUGGUCCACAGGCCCAGAGGACAUAGGCCAUCUAAAGGUCCCGCCUGUGGUGGUAAAGCUCAUCCCAGGCGUAAAAUUGCCACGAAAAUCACGGUAUCCUUUGAAACCAGCUCAAGCUGCAGCCAUUACAAUUCAAAUUCAAGCACUCCUGGAGAAGGGUGCUCUUGUCAAAUGUGAAUCACCAUGCAAUACUCCAUUAUUUCCAGUAAAGAAAAAGACUCCAAAAGGCGAACCAGAAAAGUACAGAUUGGUCCAAGACCUCAGAGCGGUAAAUGAAGCCACAGUUUUGGACACUCCAAUAGUGCCCAACCCACACACUCUCCUUUCCAGCGUUCCACCCUCUUCCAAGUACUUCACUGUAAUUGAUCUAGCCAAUGCCUUCUUCAGUGUUCCCCUGGAUCCAACUUGCCAAUAUCUGUUUGCUUUCACACAUGACAAACAACAGUACACAUGGACUGUCAUGCCCCAAGGGGCACAAAAUUCACCAAGUCAAUUUGCGAAGGCCAUGUGCUCUAUCCUUGAUCCAUGGCAAUCUGACCACCCUGAGGUCGUCCUGCUUCAAUAUGUGGAUGAUUUGCUGCUUUGUGGAGAUGAUAUACCCACAACAGAACAAUGCUCACUUAAUAUUCUUUGCUACCUAGCAGAACAAGGAUGUAAAGCUUCACGUCUCAAGCUGCAAUUCUGCCAACCUACUGUUAUCUUCCUUGGCCAUUGUCUGUCUCAGGGAACCAGACAUCUUACCCGUGACCGAGUUAGAGCGGUACUGGACAUUCCACCUCCAAGGACCUCGAAAUCACUACACGCCUUCCUAGGCCUCAUUUCCUAUUGCCGAGCAUGGAUCCCAGAAGCCUCGCUCCUUAUGCAACCUCUUUAUGAUGCUCUCAAGUCAGACCCAUUUUGCUUGUCCACAGAAGCCCUUGACAACUUCUGUUCUCUCAAGCGUGCUAUUGCUUCUGCUCCUGCUCUUGGCCUACCAGACUAUACCAAACCCUUCAAAUUGUUUGUUUCUGAAAGACAAGGCCAUGCAACAGGAGUACUCACUCAGGCUCAUGGUCCUGGAGGCCGCCAAAGGCCUAUUGGAUUUUUCUCCUGCCAACUGGAUAUUGUGGCCAGAGGACGUCCCUCUUGCCUUCGGGCCGUCUUUGCUGCCAGAGAGCUCAUUGAAAGAACUGGAGAUCUUGUCCUUGGCCACCCCCUGGUUGUCUUGGCCCCUCGUGACAUUUCUGCCAUAGUCAACCAGGUCCAACUUAAGCAUGUUACUCCUGCUAGGCAUCUUCGCCUUCAAUGUCAUCUUUUGUUGCCUGACAACAUUACCCUCCAAAGAUGUCAAGUUCUCAAUCCGUCCACUCUUCUGCCACCCCCUGAGGGGGGUGUAUACUACGGAUUCAUCAUGGACGAAAUUUAUGUUUCUCUUCUCACUGGCACCAUCAAGAAGGAAAUGCAUCCCAACCUAUCCUUUUAUGAUGGACAAGCACUCCUUCAUGACGGAGCAGGAUAUGCCUUCUGUACCAUGUGGUACAAAUCAAACAUCACUCCUGAAACCUGCUAUGAAGAUGAACUCUAUCAUCUGGUCGCAGUAAAACUCACUGCACAAGACUUCUACUGUGAUUCUGAAGGCAACAGUAUGGUCUUGAUUCAUCUACCUCCGGAACUCAAGCAUUUGUACCGUCAUUGGGACACUGCCAUUCCACAUGUCCCUGUGACCAAGUUGAAAACAAUAUCAUGGAAUGAUCUUGGGCCUAUGGCAAAAGCAUAGGCCACUAUGGACGAAUCACAGCUACAGGAAAAUGGUGUUGUCAAAUAUCCAACAACUGACCACCUAAAAGCAUGGCCACAUCAUUUCCUGGAAAAUGAGUUCCAAGAUUUAACCAUAGUAAAUGACUACGACCCAAAUACACCUCAUGACUGUUUUGAACAGAUGAAAAUGGAAACAACACAUCUACCAACUGUGCAUGAAGACCCAUUGGUAGAUCCCGAUCACACCCUGUUUGUGGACGGCUCAAGAUAUGCUGAUGAAGAAGGAAGAUACCAUACAGGAUAUGCCGUAACCACAACAGAUGAAAUUGUCAAAUCAUCAUCUUUACCAUCAACUAUGUCUGCACAAGAAGCUGAAUUGCAAGCCCUGACUUCAGCAUGCAAGAUCUCUGAAGGAAAGCGCGCCAAUAUCUACAUGGAUUCAAGAUAUGCACUGGGCGUGGCUCACGACUUUGGAUUAAUUUGGAAAACAAGAGGAUUUCUUACCACCGCCGGUACACCAAUCAAGCACGGUUCCGCAAUCAAGGAGCUGAUGGACGCCCUCCUACUCCCAGAAGAAGUGGCUAUUUUAAAGAUAAAAGCACAUGGGAAGUUGGACACAGAUGAAGCAAAGGGCAACCAUCUAGCUGAUCAAGCUGCAAAACAAGCUGCAAGAGAACCACAGGAAGUGGAAAGAAGAGUGUCCGGAAAUGAAGAGACUCCCAUAUUUACUCUGCAGACUCUUCCAACUGACCUGAAAAUCCUGCGGGAACAACAGGCUACAGUUGCCCCUGAAGAAAUACAGAAGUGGAAACAGAAAGGGGCAGUUCUGAAGGAUGGAGUGUACUCCAACAACCUCAGUUUCUGCCUCCCUAAGAAUUUGUACCCAGCAGUCGUACAAUGGGCACACGGACCUGCACAUUUAUCAAAGGAUCUAAUGAAUGCUCUUGUACAAAAUACUACCUCACUGUCCCCAUAUGAGAUUCUAUUUGGGACUGCACCUAGGCUAGGUUGCUAUUUUCCCCAGCAAUUACAACUUCAUACUGAUGUUUUGGUAAACUAUGUAACUGAACUCGCAAAUGCUUUGAACAAAAUCCAUGCCCAAGUUUUCUCUUCAAUUCCAGAUCCUGAUUCUGACACAGGCAACCACAGUCUGCUCCCCGGUGACUGGGUUCUGGUCAAGAAAUUUGUGCAAAAACACACCCUGGAACCAAGAUUUGACGGACCGUUCCAAGUUCUCCUGAUCUCCCCUACCUCUGUCAAAUUGGCCGGAAGGCCUAACUGGAUCCACGCUUCCCAUUGCAAGAAGACACCUGUCCCAGAGGAAGCUAACUCUAUGCAACCAUGUGCCUCUGGUACAUUAUCUCCUUAGUUGGCCUCCUUAAAGCCCAGCAGGUGGCCAUCACCAAAGAUGCUAGUGGGUACACUUUCUGGUAUAAUUCAUCAUGUACCCAUGUGACUACAUUCACUUUUGAUUACUGUGAUAUUGUAGAGUGCCCAUUCCCUAAGUCACAGAUUCAAGCCAUUUAUAAAGAUAUACCACAAGCAAAAGACCCUUACGUUUGUGUAGUAGAUGAACAAUGGGGUUAUGACUGUAACUACUGGGGGGGCUGCGGGAUGGAAUACUGGGCCUGCCUGGGGUUAUAAACCCAAAAGUUCUUUAUCUAAGAUAGACAAUCAGGGUAGAUCCCUCCUUCAAAGAAUGACUUUAAGAAAGCCUGGAGGAAGUACCUCUAUGAAAUUAAUGUUAAAUAUUGAACAUCCUGGCCCCGAGGAUGCAGACCGAUAUGUAAUGGGAAUGUAUUGGAAGAAAGGUUCCUACAACAAAUUAGGUCAUUUCUACCUCAGAGAUAUGUACCACUCUCCAGAGUGGUAAGGGGCUGAUCAUAUGGUCCCAAAUCCGCUAAAACCACAUAUCCAGUCCUUUAAAGAUAUGAUGGCCAUCGCUAACCCCACUUUUGAAGAUACCAUGGCCGCUGAAACUGGAUUCAAUGACAUUAAUUUGUGGUUAGAAUGGAUGAGGUAUAAUGCUAACAAACAUAAUAAAACAGCAUGUUAUGUAUGUGGCGGUGCCCGACCCCACCUUGGCACCGUCCCCCUAACUCUCCCUUUAGAGAUAGAAGAUUGCUUCUUAAGCCUUUUGCCUACCAAUAUGACUUUAAUAGGUCCCUCUGCAUGGCAUGGACGGCAGAAUACCCUCUCUUAGUUGAAAAUGUUAAGCCACCAGAUGGAAUCACAGUCUAUAGAGGUAAUUACACUUGUUAUGCCAUGUAUGACGGGAUUGGUAAAUUCAUGGGUAAUUUUUCUAAAAGUUAUUGCGCCACUUACAGAACUGUUCCUAUACGCCUGUUGCAACACCAUACCAGGUCAUUGGGGGAUAUUUACUGGUUAUGUGGGGAUCUACAGUUAAGAUCUAGGCUGGAAACUGAGUGGUAGGGUGAGUGUACCCUGGCCAAAGUUAUCAUGCCCAUUCAUAUUAUUUCUGAUAAUCAACAUGACACAUACUACCCUCCACAUACACCAGCCAGAGUAAGGUGCGAAACCCCAGUAAACGGCAGUUUUGACCCCCACAUUUACAUAGAUGCCAUUGGGGUGCCUAGGGGGGUACCUAAUGAAUUUAAAGCUAGAGAUGAAGUAGCUGCAGGUUUUGAAUCACUUUUUACCAUAGUCACUGCCAACAAAAACCUUAAUUGGAUUAAUUAUAUCUAUUACAACCAACAGCGCUUCGUGAACUACACCAGGGAUGCCCUCCAGGGCUUGGCCGAGCAAUUACAGGCCACAUCCCAAAUGACCUUCCAGAACAGACUGGCCUUAGACAUGAUCUUAGCCGAAAAAGGGGGGGUCUGUAAAAUACUUCCCGACACUAUGACUUGUUGCACUUACAUUCCAGAAAACACAGGUCCUAAUGGUAAAGUCACUCUGGCCAUAGCUAAAUUAAAUAGACUCUCAGAAGAGUUAAAGAGAAACUCUGGAGUUACUGAUCCCUGGGAAAAAUGGUUUGGUUGGAUGACUGGUUGGCAGAGAGCUUUAGUCCAGAUUGGUAUUGCCUUACUAAUUUUUCUUUUUAUUCUCGCUCUUCUCAUUUGUUGUGUCCUCCCAUGCCUAAGGAAAUUCCUGCAGAAAACUGUAGACCAAGCAACACCAACCUUCACUCAUCUGACAAUCGAUGAUCAAGACCUCAUCUCACCCUGUAUUCCGCUACAAACUCUCCCUUAUACUGAUGAAGUGCAGAAAGUCUAGGAAGGGACAGUACAGGGACAGCGUCCGUCUUUAUGGGUAGACUGCCGUACGGAGAAGUAGUGGAUAAGCCACUAUGGGUUACCAGCGGAGUGAAGAGUGUUCCUGAACCGUACUGACGGAUGUGCUGCAGCCUGUUAGGGUCAAGAGAGGGAUAGACUUGCACUUUGCAUUAACACUAAGUCAGCGGUCAUGGGGUUUCUGUGUCUUUGGGCUAAUACUUCUUCUGAUACUAACAAAUAAAGUUUUGUCUUUUAGCAAAUAACAUUUUAGGGGGGACUGUUGUAGAAUUAUUAGGCCUCUAUAAAUUUGUAAGGCCCCUUUAAAUCCUCUUGCUAUACCUCUAAGAGGCCCCCAUAGUUUUACAAGGAAGCUUUGUCUAUAGAACAUAGAAUUUGCAUGUCAGCAAGAAAUAGCUUUGAUAAAAUGUGUAUUUACUAAAAUCCUUGAAACUUAACCUUGAGAAACUAACAAGUGCCAGCUACGCUCCAAAUGGAUAGCUGCCAAAAGGCCCCUCCCGUCGAGUGAGCUCCUCAUUUUAACAAGAUGGCGCUAAAACCUGUAGGAGUUAAGAAAUUACGUAGAUAGUGACCUAAGAAUGGGGAGGGCAUUUUACUAACAUCUUAGCACCUAAGCCAAUUAACAAUGUCUAUUUGUCUAUAUCUUGAUUUUCUUCAAUGAUGUAAUAAUGCCUUUAUAAGGGUCUGCGCACCCAUUUUCUGUCAGAAGCCAUUAAACUUCUCUGAAGUUCUUUCAUUACCCUGAACCUUGUGUCUCAGUGUGAAUUUACUUCUGCGUGCACGCAACUUUAUUAUCUUUAAUUUGGACAGGAACAGAUAGUCAUUCAAACUAAUUGGUUUGCAGUAAAUUAUCUAGAACAUUACCACUACAAAUAGAUCAUACUGACAGCUGCAGUUCAAUAAGGCGGAUCUCAGUAUUCCGCUGUUUAACAUUAUAAGCAUUGUGUGAUUUUAUUUUUUCAGUAACAUUUUUAGCUGUAGUGUCAAUGAGGAUUGAUUACAGUGAAACUAACUAGAAUUAGAAAGUUAGAAUAUCAGUGCAUAAAGUGUGCGCAGUACAAAAGCAGCCACAUACCAAUAAAACUCUUUAUAAUUCUGCAGCUUUCAAUAUGUAUCUAUCUGCAGUGGUAAUAUAGAGCUAUUUUGAAUAUUGAAACUGUCAGUUGAGUCAUAGACCCACCACUAGACAUUAGUAAGUGAAUAUUUAGGCCUGCCAAGGAGAAAUUCACCUCUGGGAUGUACGCUGCGCUUGUAUUGGCGAGUGUAUUUUAAAGGACCACUAUAGUGCCAGGAAAACAUAGGAGCUCUCCUCCUCCUCUCCGCCUCCGAUCCUCCCAUUCGGCUGAAUGCGCAUGCGCGGCAAGAGCUGCGCGCGCAUUCGGCCGGUCUCAUAGGAAAGCAUUUACAAUUUACAAUGCUUUCCUAUGGACGCUUGCGUGUUCUCACUGUGAUUUUCACAGUGAGAAUCACGCAAGCGCCUCUAGCGGCUGUCAAUGAGACAGCCGCUAGAGGAUUUGGAGGAUGGAUUAACCCAUUUAUAAACAUAGCAGUUUCUCUGAAACUGCUAUGUUUAUAAAAAAGUGUGUUAACCCUAGAGGGACCUGGCACCCAGACCACUUCAUUAAGCUGAAGUGGUCUGGGUGCCCAGAGUGGUCCUUUAAGGCCUGGCUAGAACUUAGGAUUUCAAAUUUUAAAUAUAUUAAUUACAUAGUUAAAAAAUUCCUUUGUGUAAGCAGGCAAACAGGGUUUGAGGGAGAGAAAAAUGAAUAUGAUAUACUUACCAUGGACAGGGGACAUGAGCUGAUGCUUCUUCUGGGCUCUUUCUCUGCACCUUCCAAUAAGGCUACAUAUACACAUAUGCAAAAAUGUCAGAUACGCAAUUUAAUGUGUUAAUGCAAGGUUUGUUGAGACCUGCUUGAGGGUUUGCGUGCGUGGGAUGGCUGCUUGUUGUGUUGCUUGUGUGGGGUGGCUGCUUGUUAUAUUGCAUUUGUGAGGGUAGGCUACUUGUGGGGUUCCUUGUUUCUGGGGAUGCUAUUUGUGGGAUUGUGUAUGUGAGGUUAGCUGUUUCUAGGGUUGCGGGUUGUGUGUGGAUUGGGCUGUAUGCGUGCAUAUAAAUAGGAAUUGUUUGUGUAUAGGGACUGUAUUGUAUUAACGGGCAUAGUGGCAGUAGUAGUGCAUUUGUUUUUGAGGGCAGCAGCUGUAUAGGGGCUAUUUUGUAUGUUUUGGAGAGAAAAAUGGGGCUGCAGAAUAUGUGUGGGGGAAUUAAGGCUGUUGUGUGUGCGCGGGGAACUUGGAGUUGUAAAGAAUGUAUAGGGGAGAUCAGGUCAGUAGUUUAUGAGUGCAGGGAAUAAUGGCUGUAGUGUGCAUUUUGAGAUCAUUGGGACUGUUGUGUGUGUUGGGUGAUACAGAAUGUGUUGAGGGAAUGAAGGGGCAGAGCUUGGGUAUAGGUACUGUGGUGCCAGGGCAGGGCUCUGGUGAGUUGAUAGCAGUUGUGAUGGGGGGCAUAGGGCUAGGAUAGAAGGACAGAGCUGUGGUUGGGGAUAGGGGCUAUAGUGGGAGGUUAGGGGCUGUUGUGGGGGAUUGUGGGGGGGUAGUAGCUGUAGUAGUGUGGGGAUAGUGGCUGUAGAGGGGAGAUAAGGGCUGUAGUUGGGGAUAGGGGUGGGGGAAUAGGGGCCAUAGUGGGGGAUAUUAAAUGUGGUGGGAGGACAGGGGAUGUGGUGGCAGGAUAGGAAAUGUAAUGGGGGAAUCAUGGCUGUGGCGGGAGGACAGGGGGAAAUAGGACUGUGGUAUUGGUGUAAAAAGGGCUGUGGUGCGGGAUAGCCCUGUGAUGGGCAAUAGGCGCUAUAGUGGUGGGAUAGGCACUGUGUUAGGUGUUAGGGGAGGUGGUGGGGUAGAUAAGUACUAUAGUGGGCAAAAAGGUGCUAUAGUGGGGGGAUAGAGGAUGUGGUGUGGGCAUAUGGACUAGUUGGAGGGAUAGGGGCUGUAGUGGGAGUGAUUAGUAGAUAUAAUCGGAGGACAUGGGCUUAUAAUGAGAGGACUAGGAUUAUGGUGUGGUCAAGGGCUAAGAAGCUGCAAUAAAAUAUUUCCCCCCAUCAUGAUGCUUACCUUGGGCCAGGGGGGUCCUGAUCCCUGGUUGUCCAGAGGGAGAUGUUGCUGUUUGAUCUUUUAUCUCCUCACCAGCGGUACCUCCCCUCACUUGCCUGCCACCCCAUGGUCAUAGCUUUGGUAGUCUUAUGGCAAAUCUGGCGCUGAAUAUGUUGCCAUGCUUCUCUCUCCACUGCUCAUGCUAUAAACCAAAUAUGGCCCAUGAAUAAAGGGCAAUAGCGCAUCUCUACUCAUUGUCAGCUCACUAUGCUGGCCAAAUGGCAACUGAAAAGGAGGCCCUUAAAUUGCCUUUUUUAAAUGAAGCUAGACAGAAAAAUGACAGAUUUGAAAAACGCCUUGCUUUUUUGACAUGACUAGUUGCUCUCAAAAAAGCUUUUCCAGAAAGCCACCAAUCGGUAAAAUGGGUCUUGCAAACCUGUAACCCAUUACAGAAUAUAUAUAUUUUACAUCUUUACACACAUUCUGGCAAUGUCAACAGUUUAUUGAUCAUAUUUUUAUUAAUAUUUUUUAGCUAGCCCUCCUUUCCCCCAGAAAAAAACACCUAUUGUUCCUCUACUAAUUCGAAAUGAUGUAUAACUUUGUAUGUUCCUACGCGCACUGCCUUCUGUUCCAACGCAUGUUUGCAUAACAUUAAUAAAAAUAUCUCCAACUGACCCUGAUUUCCAGCAUCAGUCUGUGGUAUAUGUUCUUGUUCCAGAAGCCACCUGACCUUUUAUUUGUCACAGGUUUUAAACUGAGGUUUUUAACAGCAUCCACUAAGCAACAUGCCCUCUGGAGAGGUGGCCUGUGUUCUUGCUGUGCUAUUAAAUGUUUUAUAGAUUUCCAGCAUGUAAUACUGUUUACCUAUUGGUGGCCUGAUUUAAUGUGGUAUUUCAGUGAGAUAAUGGUCACUCUGCUACACAAAUAAAGCAUGGCAUUUAUGUUCUAUACUACCCAGUUAUAUGGCCCCUUAGAAAAGGAUAUUCAUUUAGGUCUCACUGCCAAUUUUUCUUCCCAGUAAUAAUCGGUUUAUAUGUAUGUGCAUAGGCAAUUGUUUUCCAAGUAUGCUGCUUUUGUCACAGCUACACCUUCAUAUAUCUGAGUUUUCAGUGUUCAAAUGUAUCUAGCAAGUGUAAGUGUUAGCAAAUAUAUUUUUGUUUUUGCACAAACACAAGCAAGUAGUUGGAGUAGGGGACUCUAGUGGGUGCAUAUUGACUGCAAUUGGGGGAAGGGGCUGCAUUGCAGGUAAUACAGAAGUUUGUCCUGUUAUAGUACCACAGAUUAGGGGCAAUUUUUGUCAGUUUAAAUAACUGUUGACAGUGAAGAUGUACUAAACACUCAUCCACUCAAUCAGAUCUGUUUUUACUCCAAUACAGACUGAAAUGCAGAUACAUUUAAGAAGACUAAAAAAUGGUCAAGAUGCUCUUGGAACCUAGAGACCCACUACUGGGCAUGUGCCUAUGCAACUGGAUUAGAUAACCGUGACAAGAUAUGUUUUAAGUGUAAGAAACUCAUAAAGUGAAUUACAAGUUAAAACACAUAUGAACUAAAGUAUAAGAGCGGUGUCUUGCCCUCUUAUAUUACAAAUAUCGUAAGUAAAGAAUACUUGAUAGUCAGCACAAAUAUUACACAUAUCAGGGCCCACAUUCAGUCCUCAAACUACUUACCUAGUCUAAAAUGUACAUGCCAGAAUAUGAAUAGCAUUUUAAUUCAUGAUGUGUCAGCAUGGAGUAUCAGUGUGUGUUAUUGCAAGGGUGUGAAUGUUGAGUGUUAGACUACGUGAGGAAAUGUACACAUGUGUUUGUGCUGUCUGUGUGUGAAUACAGGGCCAUGUGUGAGUGUAUGCAGGGAUAGAUUUGCAUGUUUCAGAAUGCAGUAGUGUUUUGAGUGAAAAAUCAGUGCAGAAGUAUAUUUGCCUGCCAUUUUCCCUCACAAUGUUAUUAACUCGCCACCUAACUUUCCCACUCCCCAUGUAAUUUCCACUUAUCCCACUACUAUCACAUUCUCUCUUAUGUUUUUAUUUUCCAGUAUAAUGUUCCACUUCACGUAUCAAUUUUUGUAUUUAUGCAAUCUUGAAUAUAUGCCAGAAAUUGAUAUAACAUACAUGUAUACACACACACACCUAUAAAAAACAAACAUACAGACAGACACAAUAUGUUGACACAGAGUGACCUAUAAUCUUAUAACCCAAAUAAUGGAUGUUAAAAUCUCUGGCAGCCUUUUCAGUGUUUUUCACAAAGCUACCUUCACUUGCUUCCAUUAACAACUUUUCUGUUUCAUCAACCUUGCACAUGCAAGCCUGAGGUUUACGUUCAUGGUGCCACUUUUUGGGAGCAUUGUGACUGCACGUGUUUUCAUUCUAAGUACGUCACUAAUCUGCAUUUCCCAUUUGAACUAGGAUCUGCUCAUCUAUGUGAACAAAAGAACAAGUUACACGCAGGUGCAUGUAUAAUAGUUAUUUAUUCUCAACAUUUAUUUAGAUAGCUCAAAUAAUCUACGCACCCUUGAUACACUACUUAAAGGGUAUUAGAAACACAAUUUAACAGCCAAGACAAAUUAAUACAUAAGGUAGAGACAGCUUUGUUAUGAAUAUGCAUGAGCUUCAUUUUAUUUUAUUAUUAAUUAUAGAGCAUCACACUAUUCUGAUCACAUACCCCUAUUACACACUUACAUUAUUGAAACUGUAAAAGGAGACUGGCUAUCCCUCUUUCUGACAUAACAAGCCCUCCCCCUCCCCCCCCCCUUAAUUUUACUACAGUGUUGUUACAUUUUUAGAAUUUCGGUUUGGCACUUUUCCCAGACAGCUACUACGUUAAUUAUAGCCGGGAUUUAAAUAACUGACUAGAAUGCAAUUGAAUGUACAACACACACAUCUAUAUGCACUGUAUUCUCUGGGUGUCCUAAAUGACUAAGGGAAUUCUUGUGAGUCAAUGUUUCUGCAUUACCCAGUGUGCGCCUCUUUGUUAACUGGGCUAGAAAUCGGAAGGACCAAAACUAUAUUUUUUCCUGUCUCUGACCAUUUAGUACAUAUCUAGAUAGAUCUCAUUUUAAAGCAGAACAGAGACGUAUUCAGUGCCUUUAAAAAGUCACCACCUUCUCUUUCCUGGCAUCCCUUCUUCACGGACUUUCUGUGAAAUAUGAAUAUUUAUAUUUUCUCUGUCCCAGAAGAUUAGGGAUAUCUCCAGUAGUCACUAUUAGCUGUGCCUAAACUGCCAUGUGUAUACAAAAAAGUAAAUGUCUGUGUUUAAAAAAUAAAAUAAAAAAAUAAACAAAAUGUAUAUAAAUAUCUAUGCAGUUUUAGUAUUUGGCUGUCAGUAAUGUUGUCCCUCUUCUACAGAGUUGUGUACAGUAUUGAUUGCUGAGUGGAUUCUGAAGUUUCUGAAAAUAAUGUAUUUCCGGUCUAUCUUCUGGAGCUGUCCAUUGAUAGUCAUUUUCUAUAUUACUAGUAAACCUGCAAGAAAAUCAACAUGGGGUCCAAAUCGCCCAGGGGUACUUGGAAAGAAGGUAUAUGGAGAGACAGAAAAUACCAAAAAUUAUUCCAACAUCAAUUCAGUUGUCGUAUUGUUUGUCAAUAGUAUUUUUGCUCUUUCUGGUUUUCUAAGGCCUCUUAUACCACUGUCUUUUACACCAUCCUUUCACCCUUAUAUUUCAUAUAACUAGUCCUUUACAAGUUCAUUUUGCUUUACUGGUUUAACAAAAAAUGGCCCGAGUCAGGGCACUUGUCACUGUCAUUGAGGGUACUGUGCCUUCUCUGAUCCAGUUGCAGGGAGUAAUAUUAACUCCUCACCAGCUACAUUAUGAUGCACAAUGUCACAAAGAGUGUCUUGCCAGGACCCUUAUUGAUACUCCUACAAACCAACAUUAUAGCUCAACCGCUCAAGAGUUUUAACUGCUCACUUACAGCAUCUAAGAGACCCAGAACAAGCAAGCAUCAGUUCAUGUGCCAUUAUGCAGCAGUGAUGGUAAGCACUCAGCUGUCAACGUUUUUUUUUCUCAGUCAACUUCCUAAUCUAUCGCCGAGCCCCCAGAAACCACUCUCUUAAAAAAAAAAAAUUGCUAAAAUUAAGCCAGCAAAAGAUAUUGAGACAG
rnacentral:lncRNA from 1 species